rfam:Oryza punctata chromosome 12, whole genome shotgun sequence.
UUUAGGCACAACCAUGAGUUUCCGUGUUCAACUUUGAUUAUCUAUUUUAUUUGAUUUUUUUAUGAUUAGUAUUUUGUUGUUAUUAGAUGAUAAAACAUGAAUAAUACUUUAUACGUGACUUAUAUUUUUUAAUUUUUUCAAAUAAGAUGGAUAAUUAAAGUUGGACACGAAAACUUAUCGCUGCGCUUAAA